AACCAGCUCUCAUAGCAGCAGCAUCCUUUUUUAUCUCCUUUUUUAGGAUAAAAAAGAUAUAGCGAAUAGCAGGAAAUUGC
rnacentral:sRNA from 1 species